rnacentral:rRNA from 1 species
CCUACGGGAGGCAGCAGUGAGGAAUAUUGGUCAAUGGCCGUAAGGCUGAACCAGCCAAGUAGCGUGAGGGAAGACUGCCCUAUGGGUUGUAAACCUCUUUUAUGCGGGGAUAAAGGUGUCCACGUGUGGAUGUUAGCAGGUACCGCAUGAAUAAGGACCGGCUAAUUCCGUGCCAGCAGCCGCGGUAAUACGGAAGGUCCGGGCGUUAUCCGGAUUUAUUGGGUUUAAAGGGAGCGUAGGCCGGUCAUUAAGCGUGCCGUGAAAUUUUGUGGCUCAACCAUGAGAGUGCGGCGCAAACUGGUGACCUUGAGUGCGCGGAAGGCAGGCGGAAUUCGUGGUGUAGCGGUGAAAUGCUUAGAUAUCACGAAGAACCCCGAUUGCGAAGGCAGCCUGCCGCAGCGUUACUGACGCUGAAGCUCGAAAGCGCGGGUAUCGAACAGGAUUAGAUACCCGUGUAGUC